rnacentral:rRNA from 1 species
GACGAACGCUGGCGGCGUGCUUAACACAUGCAAGUCGAACGGAAAGGCCCUGCUUUUGUGGGGUGCUCGAGUGGCGAACGGGUGAGUAACACGUGAGUAACCUGCCCUUGACUUUGGGAUAACUUCAGGAAACUGGGGCUAAUACCGGAUAGGAGCUCCUGCUGCAUGGUGGGGGUUGGAAAGUUUCGGCGGGUGGGGAUGGACUCGCGGCUUAUCAGCUUGUUGGUGGGGUAGUGGCUUACCAAGGCUUUGACGGGUAGCCGGCCUGAGAGGGUGACCGGCAACAUUGGGACUGAGAUACGGCCCAGACUCCUACGGGAGGCAGCAGUGGGGAAUAUGGCACAAUGGGCGGAAGCCUGAUGCAGCAACGCCGCGUGCGGGAUGACGGCCUUCGGGUUGUAAACCGCUUUCGCCUGUGACGAAGCGUGAGUGACGGUAAUGGGUAAAGAAGCACCGGCUAACUACGUG